rnacentral:rRNA from 1 species
UACAGAGGUGGCAAGCGUUAUUCGGAAUUAUUGGGCGUAAAGGGCGCGUAGGCGGCCUGACAAGUGGAAGGUGAAAUCCCUCGGCUUAACCGAGGAACUGCCCUCCAAACUGUCUGGCUUGAGACCGGGAGAGGUGAGUGGAAUUCCCAGUGUAGCGGUGAAAUGCGUAGAUAUUGGGAGGAACACCAGUGGCGAAGGCGGCUCACUGGACCGGUACUGACGCUGAGGCGCGAAAGCGUGGGGAGCAAACGGG